rnacentral:tRNA from 1 species
GGAUUGUGGCUCAGUGGUAGAGUGCUUGUCCAGCACGUGCAGGGCCCUGGGUUUGAUUCUCAGCACCA